rnacentral:rRNA from 1 species
GAUGAACGCUGACAGAAUGCUUAACACAUGCAAGUCGAUUCGAUUUACCUUUGGGUAUUGAGGAUGGCGGACGGGUGAGUAACGCGUAAGGAACUUGCCUCUUGGACUGGGACAACUGUUGGAAACGACAGCUAAUACCGGAUAUUAUGAGAUUCUCGCAUGAGAAACUUAUGAAAGCUAUAUGCGCCAAGAGAGAGCCUUGCGUUCCAUUAGCUAGUUGGUGGGGUAAUGGCCCACCAAGGCGACGAUGGAUAGCCGGCCUGGGAGGGUGAACGGCCACAAGGGGACUGAGACACGGCCCUUACUCCUACGGGAGGCAGCAGUGGGGAAUAUUGGACAAUGGGCCACAAGCCUGAUCCAGCAAUUCUGUGUGCACGAUGAAGGUCUUCGGAUCGUAAAGUGCUUUCAGUUGGGAAGAAGAAAGUGACGGUACCAACAGAAGAAGCGACGGCUAAAUACGUGCCAGCCGCCGCAGUAAAAC